UGUAGCAAAAUAUCGUCGACCGCCUGCCGAAUCCAAUCAGAUUCCAAGAUAGAGGGAAAAUCAGCUGUAAAAUUUGGCUUUUCAAAACCCGAAAUGGACGAGAAAACAGGAUCCGCUUCCGUAGCAUCUGCUAGAGAAGUGCUAGACACUAUAAGUCAGAUAUCGGAACUAUUGGAGACGGGGCUUGACCCUGAGACCUUGUCAAUCUGUGUUCAUCUCUGUGAGCAGGGAGUCAACCCCGAGGCCCUUGCAUCUGUUAUCAAGGAACUACGAAGAGAGAUGACAGCGUAUAAGGCAGCUGUGGAGCAAGGAUAAUACCCCAGACAUACCGUGUGAACAUGAACUGAGAUUGAACUGAAUGAGGGACAUUGUAUCUAUACCCAGGGCUGCUGUUAAUAUGGUGGACUGUGAAACAGUUUUGAUGCACAGUUGCCCAAGUGUUAGAUUACCGUGUGAACAUUAACUGAGAUUGAACUGAAUGAGGGACAUUGUAUCUAUACCCAGGGCUGCUGUUAAUAUGGUGGACUCUGAAACAGUUUGGAUGCACAGAUGUCUGUGUGUUAGAUUACCGUGUGAACUAGAACUGAUAUUGAACUGAAUGAGGGACUUUGUAUCCAGACCCAGGGCUGCUGUUAAUAUGGUGGACUGUGAAGGACAGUAGUUUGGAUACACAGAUGCCAAAGUGUUAGAUUACCAUGUGAACUUGAACUGGUGGGCGAUUGGUGUGGUAGAUGAUCCUAUGUGGCAUCCCUGUAAUACCAACCCCGGGUUGGUAUUCGUCCAUCUGCUAGAUCUGCAAGCCCAACAAAGCCUUUUCUGAGAUGUAUAUGAUCUACAUUUAUUUUGCCCCAUCUGGGCUCCGUAACACAAAGAUUAGCGAUCAAUCGCUAAAUGAACUGACCAAUCAUUAUCAACGUUACACGCGCA